rnacentral:rRNA from 1 species
ACGGCCGGCCAUACCACCCUGAACACGCCCGAUAUCGCCUCUGAUAUCGGAAGCUAAACAGGGUUGGGCCUGGUUAGUACUUGGAUGGGAAAUCCUUUAUCAUUUUGUAAUGUUCUUC